AUCUUGGACAAUGGGCGCAAGCCUGAUCCAGCCAUGCCGCGUGAGUGAUGAAGGCCCUAGGGUUGUAAAGCUCUUUCAGCGGGGAAGAUAAUGACGGUACCCGCAGAAGAAGCCCCGGCUAACUUCGUGCCAGCAGCCGCGGUAAUACGAAGGGGGCUAGCGUUGCUCGGAAUCACUGGGCGUAAAGCGCACGUAGGCGGCUUUCUAAGUCAGGGGUGAAAUCCCGGAGCUCAACUCCGGAACUGCCUUUGAUACUGGAAAGCUUGAGUCCGGGAGAGGUGAGUGGAACUGCGAGUGUAGAGGUGAAAUUCGUAGAUAUUCGCAAGAACACCAGUGGCGAAGGCGGCUCACUGGCCCGGUACUGACGCUGAGGUGCGAAAGCGUGGGGAGCAAACAGG
rnacentral:rRNA from 1 species